UGGUAUGCAUUAUUACGCAAAGCUAACUUAUGGAGUACUUACUUCCCCUAAUCUACAGGCACAUAUUUUUGGGACACUUCGCAGAUUUCACUCCGCUUUGCCCGAUGUCACAUACGGUAGAAGGAUUUUGCUGCUCUCACUGACGUUCAAAAUUUAGCGUCUCAAUUGCUCAUUAGCAAAUAGCAGCUAAAGUAGUUCGCCGUCCUUUUUUGAAUACCACGUAUCUUUCAUUUGCCAGUACACUCCGAAUUCUGUAUAUGGUCCUCUAUAUUUGGGUUGAAGCUUCCCUCCACCGGCCAACUGCGAUCCUUCCACUGCCACUUGCUCUCCUAUCGUGAACAACUUUGCGCGAUAUCGUGACGAGGAGGGAACCUUACUGAUGGUGGCACUCUAAUUCAAUUUGUUAAUUGGACAACUGAUAUCCGCCAUUUUGUUCUCGACAUAAUGGGCGAUUAAAAUGAGUGGCGAUCGAGUCGCCUUUGGAAGUUCAAGUUAAAUACGAUUUCCCAUGUAAACCAAAAAUUCCAAAGGUGACUCAACAGCAACUCAAUUUUGAUCGCGUAGUGUUAGCGUAGUUCCUCCAGGGUUCUUGUCCUUGGGUGCGUUUAAGUGGUCCCUUCCAUGAAUAUAUACGUUCGUCUGGCAUAUUCCAAGGAUAUUCAGCAAUGAAUAUACACUAUUAAUAUAUUUCUUGAUUUUCUGUAUUGAAUAUUCUGUUAUAAAAUUCCCUGGAUGUAUGGGGAAUAUUCGUUUUGUCACAAUCACGUGUUAAUUUCAAGCCUUAAUUACAAUACACAAAAUGUCUGUUUUAGGUUGUCAACUACUUAUAUAUCUCAUCCGCUAAACUUCGGGGAAAUUUACCUAGAUGUCGCCACUGCAAACAUUUCCGUUUAGUACGAGAUUGUGUUGUGUCACCAAAGAGUACCUUACUCUUUGGUGUCAUCUCCAGGAUAACUGAUUGGGAAAAUCGAAAAUGUGAUGUUUCGUUCUUGUAAUACACCUUAUACUUAUGGCAUGCCGAUAAGUUUAAAUGUGGGAAUUUUUUUUAAUAAAUAAUUUUUUUCUCCA